rnacentral:rRNA from 14 species
AAGUUGUGUAGUGCGAUCGGUGGAUGCCUUGGCACCAAGAGCCGAUGAAGGACGUUGUGACCUGCGAUAAGCCCUGGGGAGUUGGUGAGCGAGCUGUGAUCCGGGGGUGUCCGAAUGGGGAAACCUGGAAUGUCCGGAGUAGUGUCCGGUGGCCCUGCCCUGAAUGUAUAGGGGUGUGGGUGGUAACGCGGGGAAGUGAAACAUCUUAGUACCCGUAGGAAGAGAAAACAAGUGUGAUUCCGUGAGUAGUGGCGAGCGAAAGCGGAGGAGGCUAAACCGUGUGUGUGUUCAAGCCGGCAGGUGUUGCAUGUGCGGGGUUGUGGGGGCCUUGUGGUUCUGCUGCCGCAGGAUUGGCCAGUGAGAAAUGUUGCGUGAAGGUGAAGCGUCUGGGAAGGCGUACCGGAGUGGGUGAGAGUCCUGUAACUGUAAGCGUGGCACUGGUGUGGGGUUGCCCCGAGUAGCGUGGGACUCGUGGAAUUUCGCGUGAAUCUGGCGGGACCACCCGUCAAGCCUAAAUACUCCUUGGUGACCGAUAGUGGAUGAGUACCGUGAGGGAAGGGUGAAAAGUACCCCGGGAGGGGAGUGAAAGAGUUCCUGAAACCGGUCGCAUGCAAGCCGUCAGAGCCUGUGUGGUGAUGGCGUGCCUUUUGAAGAAUGAGCCUGCGAGUUAGUGAUGCGUGGCGAGGUUAACCCGUGGUGGGGGAGUCGUAGCGAAAGCGAGUCCGAUAAGGGCGUGAGUCGCGUGUUCUAGACCCGAAGCGGUGUGAUCUAUCCAUGGCCAGGAUGAAGCGUCGGUAAGACGUCGUGGAGGUCCGAACCCACUUCAGUUAAAAAUGGAGGGGAUGAGUUGUGGAUAGGGGUGAAAGGCCAAUCAAACACCGUGAUAGCUGGUUCUCCCCGAAAUGCAUUUAGGUGCAGCGUUGCGUGGUUCUUGUUGGAGGUAGAGCACUGGAUGGUCUAGGGGGCUUAUCGGCUUACCGAAAUCAGCCAAACUCCGAAUGCUGGCAAGUGUAGCGUGGCAGUGAGACGGCGGGGGAUAAGCUUCGUCGUCGAGAGGGAAACAGCCCAGAUCAUCAGCUAAGGCCCCUAAGUGGUGACUCAGUGGGAAAGGAUGUGGAGUUGCGUAGACAACCAGGAGGUUGGCUUGGAAGCAGCCAUCCUUGAAAGAGUGCGUAAUAG